rnacentral:rRNA from 1 species
CAGCCGCCGCGGUAAUACGUAGGGUGCGAGCGUUAAUCGGAAUUACUGGGCGUAAAGCGUGCGCAGGCGGUUAUAUAAGACAGAUGUGAAAUCCCCGGGCUCAACCUGGGACCUGCAUUUGUGACUGUAUAGCUGGAGUACGGUAGAGGGGGAUGGAAUUCCGCGUGUAGCAGUGAAAUGCGUAGAUAUGCGGAGGAACACCGAUGGCGAAGGCAAUCCCCUGGACCUGUACUGACGCUCAUGCACGAAAGCGUGGGGAGCAAACAGGAUUAGAUACCCCCGUAGUCCCUGUCUCUUAUAC